rnacentral:rRNA from 1 species
AAAUCCUUAUGGCCGAAUAUCCAAGGUUUCCAGAGUAAAGCUGAUCUGCUCUGGGUAAGUCGGGGCCUAAGGCGAGGACGAGAGUCGCAGCCGAUGGACAACAGGUGGAGAUUCCUGUACUGCGGUAUGACAGAACUGUGGGGACACGUAAGGAAAGCGGAAGCCGGGAAUGGAAAGCCCGGUGCAAGCGGGGUACCAGCCACUUUGGCAAAUCCGGGUGGCAAUGGGAAGCCGUGAUGCGGAGCGAAAUAAAGUAGCGAAGUCCGUGAGCCAUGCGUCAAGAAAAGCCGCUAUUGUUUAUACCGUACCCGUACCGUAAACCGACACAGGUGGAUGAGGAGAGAAUCCUAAGGCCGGCGGAAGAAGCAUUGUCAAGGAACUCGGCAAAAUGGCCCCGUAACUUAGGGAUAAGGGGUGCCUGGGAAACCAGGCCGCAGAGAAUAGGCUCAAGCAACUGUUUAGCAAAAACACAGGUCUAUGCGAAACCGAAAGGUGAGGUAUAUGGGCUGACGCCUGCCCGGUGCUGGAAGGUUAAGAGGAGAGGUUAGCGCAAGCGAAGCUUUGAAUUUAAGCCCCAGUAAACGGCGGCCGUAACGAUAACGGUCCUAAGGUAGCGAAAUUCCUUGUCGGGUAAGUUCCGACCCGCACGAAAGGCGUAAUGAUUUGAGCGCUGUCUCGACAAUGCAUCCGGUGAAAUUGAAGUACCAGUGAAGAUGCUGGUUACCUGCGCCAGGACGGAAAGACCCCAUGGAGCUUUACUCCAGUCUGGUACCGGGACUCGGUAUUGCAUGUACAGGAUAGGUGGGAGGCUAGGAGAUGGUAACGCCAGUUGCCAUGGAGCCGCUGUUGGGAUACCACCCUUGCAGUAUUGGGUUUCUAACCAGCCGCCGUGACCCGGCGGUGGGACAAUGCCAGACGGGGAGUUUGACUGGGGCGGUCGCCUCCGAAAGGGUAUCGGAGGCGCCCAAAGGUUCCCUCAGAAUGGACGGAAACCAUUCGAAGAGUGCAAAGGCAGAAGGGAGCUUGACUGCGACACCGACGGGUGGAGCAGGUACGAAAGUAGGGCUUAGUGAUCCGGUGGUAUUAAGUGGGAAUGCCAUCGCUCAACGGAUAAAAGCUACCCUGGGAUAACAGGCUUAUCACUCCCAAGAGUUCACAUCGACGGAGUGGUUUGGCACCUCGAUGUCGGCUCAUCGCAUCCUGGGGCUGUAGUAGGUCCCAAGGGUUGGGCUGUUCGCCCAUUAAAGCGGUACGCGAGCUGGGUUCAGAACGUCGUGAGACAGUUCGGUCCCUAUCCGGCGUGGGCGUAGGAUAUCUGAGAGGAGCUGUCCUUAGUACGAGAGGACCGGGAUGGACGGGCCGCUGGUGCAUCGGUAGACUGCCAAGUCUACGGCCGAGUAGCCAAGCCCGGAAGGGAUAAACGCUGAAGGCAUCUAAGCGUGAAGCCCCCCUUAAGAUGAGAUAUCCCAUUCGAAAGAAGUAAACCCCCUUGAAGACGACGAGGUAGAUAGGGCAGAGGUGGAAGUGCAGCAAUGCAUGGAGCUGACUGUUACUAAUCGGGUGAGGGCUUGAUC